rnacentral:misc_RNA from 1 species
AACUUUCAACAACGGAUCUCUUGGCUCUCGCAUCGAUGAAGAACGCAGCGAAAUGCGAUAAGUAAUGUGAAUUGCAGAACUCAGUGAAUCAUCGAAUCUUUGAACGCACCUUGCGCCCUUUGGCUAUUCCGAAGGGCAUGCCUGUUUGAGUAUCAUGAACACCUCAACUCUCACGGUUUCUCGUGCUGAGCUUGGACCUGCGGGUCUUGUUGGCCUGUGGUCAGCUCUCCUCAAAUGAAUUAGCUUGCCGGUGUCUGGCGGCAUCAUGGGUGUGCUAACAAUAUCCGCUUGUGAUCGUCUGCGAGGUAAUCCUCUGGUCUGCAGAGGUUCGCCGGAGCUUAUAGAUGUCGCUCCUCAGUGAAGACAGCUGUUUGAAGUUUGAUCUCAAAUCAGGUAGGACUACCCGCUGAACUUAAGCAUAUCAAUAAGCGGAGGCU